GUUCAAUCUUGUUUUUCUCAUAUCCCUGAGCUCUACCUCCCAAAGCACCUUUAUAGAGCAUAUUACCAGUAGUGGGAAUUUGGUUCUGGUUAAAAUGGGUCUUAUUGAUGUUGUUAAAGGUUUGGGAGUUUGUAGCAAGAGGGAGGAAGUUGGUAAAGUCUGGUGGAUCUGGCGGUCUGUUUGCCGUCGAAGCAGAGCGAUUAAAGUUGAAGUUCAUCCCUGAGCUCCGUCGAAGUUAUCCGUUAUUGACCGUUGGAGAGAG
rnacentral:misc_RNA from 1 species